rnacentral:rRNA from 1 species
GAUGAACGCUGGCGGCGUGCCUAAUACAUGCAAGUCGAGCGAACAGACGAGGAGCUUGCUCCUCUGACGUUAGCGGCGGACGGGUGAGUAACACGUGGAUAACCUACCUAUAAGACUGGGAUAACUUCGGGAAACCGGAGCUAAUACCGGAUAAUAUAUUGAACCGCAUGGUUCAAUAGUGAAAGACGGUUUUGCUGUCACUUAUAGAUGGAUCCGCGCCGCAUUAACUAGUUGGUAAGGUAACGGCUUACCAAGGCAACGAUGCGUAGCCGACCUGAGAGGGUGAUCGGCCACACUGGAACUGAGACACGGUCCAGACUCCUACGGGAGGCAGCAGUAGGGAAUCUUCCGCAAAGGGCGAAAGCUUGACGGAGCAACGCCGCGUGAGUGAUGAAGGUCUUCGGAUCGUAAAACUCUGUUAUUAGGGAAGAACAAAUGUGUAAGUAACUAUGCACGUCUUGACGGUACCUAAUCAGAAAGCCACGGCUAACUACGUG